rnacentral:other from 1 species
CUUCCCGGGCCGGAACGAAAAGUUGAUGGGUAUGAGGAUACCGAGAGGCUUUUGGCUUGUGGUUGUGAUGUUGUGUUUGCAAGUUGUCUGGCACUCCAGACGCAGUAGCAGAAGCUACUCUUUUUCACUUCCUGUACAUUUACCCUGUCUGUCCAUAGUGAUUUAUGCAGCACCGCACUUUGCGGUGCUUUUUUUU